rnacentral:rRNA from 1 species
UACGUAGGUGACCAGCGUUGUCCGGAUUUACUGGGCGUAAAGAGCGCGCAGGCGGUCGUUCAAGUCGAGUGUGAAAGCCCCCGGCUCAACUGGGGAGGGGCACUCGACACUGAUCGACUUGAAGGCAGGAGAGGGAAGCGGAAUUCCCGGUGUAGUGGUGAAAUGCGUAGAUAUCGGGAGGAACACCAGUGGCGAAGGCGGCUUCCUGGCCUGUUCUUGACGCUGAGGCGCGAAAGCUAGGGGAGCAAACGGG